GUGACUGAACCCGAAGUGAUGGAGGGGCUGGUCUGUGAAACCAGUAUUAACGAGUUGAAGUCUCGUCAGUCACCCCA
rnacentral:tRNA from 1 species